GAUUGUUGUAUCCUUGAAGGCUCAUAAACUAAGAAGUUACAUACAUGUAUGAUCUUGGUCAUUGGGUGGAUUGUUGUGUGUUUACAAGCUUUUCCAGUGUAGGAUUGCAACAACAGACAUACCUACAGUUGAGAAUCUCAAAAGCUGGCUUGAUAUAAUUAAUGCUAAUGAAAUAUUGUCAGUGUGAAUGCUCUGUAAUAUUGUCGUAUUACAGUUUAGACUCAUUGCGAGAUGCAGUCAGUAAACUGGACAUUGGCUAUUUUUCUAGAAAUGCUGCACUGUCUCUGUAACCGCUAGUGCAACGCAAGGUGUCCAGCGAAAUUACAGAGAAAUACAGAAAGUUUUGUAUUUGUUUCCUCUUGCAUCGACCAUGCCAAUAUGGGACUGUAACUUUGAAGAAGAGAAAGAUGUUGAAGUGCUAGCAUGUAGGAUCCUCAAUAGCAUGUCAUUAUGUUGGCAUCAUAUGGGAGUAUUAGUAGGUGAGGUGACAGGAAGAACAUAGUGACUAAAGAGACAUUUAGUCAAGUAUUGUUAUGUACGUAUAAACACAGAAUAUUAGUCAUGAUCCAGCUUCAUGAAUAGACUAAAUAUCUUAGCAAUAGUAA